ACUGUCCAAGCAUAUAGAAUUUUACUCAUAUGUUCUCUCUCUCUCUUGAGGAGUUGUCGGAUAAUUUCUCUUUGAGAGAAAAAUUUUAUGACCUAUCAGAAGAUAAUUUUUCUUAAAAUUCUCCGUACUGAAUCAUUUCAGCACAGUAUCAAUGUACGUGGAUUGGGAUAAUCCAAGCAGUCUCUUAGAUAUAUCUCUAUAGAUCUUCAUCC
rnacentral:lncRNA from 1 species